rnacentral:rRNA from 1 species
CAGUCGCCGCGGUAAAACGAAGGGGGCUAGCGUUGCUCGGAAUUACUGGGCGUAAAGGGCGCGUAGGCGGACAGUUAAGUUGGGGGUGAAAGCCCGGGGCUCAACCUCGGAAUUGCCUUCAAUACUGGCUGUCUUGAGUAUGAGAGAGGUGUGUGGAGCUCCGAGUGUAGAGGUGAAAUUCGUAGAUAUUCGGAAGAACACCAGUGGCGAAGGCGACACACUGGCUCAUUACUGACGCUGAGGCGCGAAAGCGUGGGGAGCAAACAGGAUUAGAUACCCCUGUAGUCCCUGUCUCUUAUAC